rnacentral:rRNA from 1 species
GACGAACCGUGCGAACGUUAUUCGGAAUCACUGGGCUUAAAGCGCGUGUGAGGCGGACGGGGACGUCGGUCGCUGAAAUCCCCCGGCUCCACCGGGGAACGGGCGCCGAAACGCCCCGUCUCGAGGGACGUAGGGGGACCGUGGAACUUCCGGUGGAGCGGUGGAAAUGCGUUGAGAUCGGAAGGAACGCCCGUGGCGAAAGCGAGGUCCUGGACGUCUUCUGACGCUGAGACGGCGAAAGCUAGGGGAGCGAACGGGAGUUAAGAUAC